CUAACACAUGCAAGUCGAGGGGCAGCACGGUGUAGCAAUACACUGGUGGCGACCGGCGCACGGGUGCGUAACGCGUAUGCAACCUACCCAUAACAGGGGGAUAACACUGAGAAAUUGGUACUAAUACCCCAUAACAUCAGGACCGGCAUCGGUUCUGGUUGAAAACUCCGGUGGUUAUGGAUGGGCAUGCGUUGUAUUAGCUGGUUGGUGAGGUAACGGCUCACCAAGGCAACGAUACAUAGGGGGACUGAGAGGUUAACCCCCCACAUUGGUACUGAGACACGGACCAAACUCCUACGGGAGGCAGCAGUGAGGAAUAUUGGUCAAUGGACGCAAGUCUGAACCAGCCAUGCCGCGUGCAGGAAGACGGCUCUAUGAGUUGUAAACUGCUUUUGUACGAGGGUAAACGCUCUUACGUGUAAGAGCCUGAAAGUAUCGUACGAAUAAGGAUCGGCUAACUCCGUGCCAGCAGCCGCGGUAAUACGGAGGAUCCAAGCGUUAUCCGGAUUUAUUGGGUUUAAAGGGUGCGUAGGCGGUUUGAUAAGUUAGAGGUGAAAUACCGGUGCUUAACACCGGAACUGCCUCUAAUACUGUUGAACUAGAGAGUAGUUGCGGUAGGCGGAAUGUAUGGUGUAGCGGUGAAAUGCUUAGAGAUCAUACAGAACACCGAUUGCGAAGGCAGCUUACCAAACUAUAUCUGACGUUGAGGCACGAAAGCGUGGGGAGCAA
rnacentral:rRNA from 1 species